rnacentral:misc_RNA from 1 species
GAAACUGGUUUGCUGCUGUUCCUAAUGGACAUUGCAUAUCUCAUCCUUGUCUUAGAGUUCGUUUCAUGAGGGGAGAGGGGGAGACGUGUCUUUGUGACUACUCUGAUGAUGCUGUCACUGUCGACCCUUAUUCUUCUUUGGAUGCUGUUCAAGAAUUUUUGUUGCCUAAAGUUAGAAUAGUAAGAACCAAAGAAAGUGAAACACUUUCCAUUGGGGCCUGAGAAGCUGUUAAAAUUUCAAAUUACAUCAAACGUGAACCCAGGACAAGGUGAAAGUUCAGGUCCCAUGGAUCCUGACAGCAUGUCUAGUGAUUUGAUUGAGAUGCAGGAAGAUGAGGCUAACCUAUUGCAGACACCACUGGAACAAGCAGAAAAUUUACGACAGAUAAAUCCUGGCACGAUUACAUCUUCAAAUGAUUCUCGUAUUGCCUCCAUAGAGAAGUUAGUACAAUAUCCUUCUGGGGCAGACAUCAGUAGAAAAAGUCAGUGUCCUCCAUCCCCUAGCAAUGAAGAUGCUUCAUCAAAACUGGCAUUUUACCUAGAAGGACAAGAGUUGGAUCGGAAUUUGACAUUGUAUCAGGCAAUUCUUCAACAGAAAAUUAAAGCAGAUCAUGAAAUUAAUAUGGGGGCAAGGCUAUGGAGUCAAGUAUACACACUGACUUAUAGAAUGGCUG